UACGGGGGGAGCAAGCGUUGUUCGGAUUUACUGGGCGUAAAGGGCGCGUAGGCGGCCACCGCAAGUCGACUGUGAAAUCUCCGGGCUUAACCCGGAAAGGUCAGCCGAUACUGCGGGGCUAGAGUGCAGAAGGGGCAACUGGAAUUCUCGGUGUAGCGGUGAAAUGCGUAGAUAUCGAGAGGAACACCUGCGGCGAAGGCGGGUUGCUGGGCUGACACUGACGCUGAGGCGCGAAAGCUAGGGGGGCGAACGGG
rnacentral:rRNA from 1 species